rnacentral:rRNA from 1 species
UACGAAGGGGGCUAGCGUUGCUCGGAAUCACUGGGCGUAAAGCGCACGUAGGCGGAUUGCUAAGUCUGGGGUGAAAUCCUGGAGCUCAACUCCAGAACUGCCUUUGAUACUGGCGAUCUUGAGUCCGGGAGAGGUGAGUGGAACUGCGAGUGUAGAGGUGAAAUUCGUAGAUAUUCGCAAGAACACCAGUGGCGAAGGCGGCUCACUGGCCCGGUACUGACGCUGAGACGCGAAAGCGUGGGGAGCGAACAGG